rnacentral:rRNA from 1 species
ACGAUGUGUGGAGGAUGCUUGGAGGCACGUGAAGAGCAGUGUUGGCGCCAGCCCGGCGCAAUACGUGCUCGGCACAUUCGUGGACUUCAAAGGAGCAUUCGACAACGUCGAAUGGAGUGCUGCACUCAGCCGACUAGCCGACUUGGGAUGCCGGGAAAUGGGCUUGUGGCAGAGCUUUUUCUCCGGCCGAAGAGCAGUGAUCCGAAGCAGUUCCGGUACUGUGGAGGUACCGGUAACUAGAGGCUGCCCGCAGGGAUCAAUCAGCGGCCCAUUUAUCUGGGACAUACUGAUGGAUGUACUGCUUCAGCGUCUCCAGCCGUAUUGCCAGCUGAGUGCAUACGCGGAUGACUUGCUGCUUCUCGUCGAGGGAAAUUCCCGAGCUGUGCUAGAGGAAAAAGGAGCGCAACUAAUGUCCAUCGUAGAAACGUGGGAGCGGAAGUUGGCGUUGCCGUCUCGACCAGCAAGACGGUAAUCAUGCUGCUGAAAGGUGCCUUGAGACGUGCGCCUACGGUGAGGUUUGCUGGAGCGAACCUUCCGUAUGUGCGUAGCUGUCGGUACCUUGGCAUCACGGUCAGUGAAGGAAUGAAAUUCCUCACGCACAUAGCUUCGCUUCGCCAGCGGAUGACAGGAGUCGUUGGAGCAUUGGCGCGUGUGCUUCGAGCCGACUGGGGCUUCAGUCCUCGAGCCAGGCGGACCAUAUAUGACGGACUCAUGGCACCUUGUGUGCUGUUUGGUGCCCGGUAUGGUAUGACACCGCGGAACAAGUAGCUGCCCAGAGGCGACUAGCCUCCUGCCAGAGGCUAAUCCUGCUUGGAUGCCUUUCGUAUGCCGAACAGUGUCCACAGUGGCACUGCAGGUACUUGGUGGAGCUCCCCCGCUUGAUCUGGCUCUAAGUUAUUAGCGAUUAAAUACAAGCUAAAACGUGGAUUCCCGCUGGAGGAGAACGACUGGCUUUACGGCGAGGACAUUGCGUGUCUUAGCUGGGAGCAGAGGAAGACUCGCCUAGAGGAGUGUUUAAUCCAGAGUUGCAGAAAGAUGGGACGAUGACAGCGAACCAGGACGGGUGAGCAUAGGUUUAUCCCAUACGUCACUCUUGCCUAUCGGGAUCCAAGUUUUGGAUUCUCGAUGAGGACGUCUUUCCUGCUUACAGGGCACGGGUCGUUCAAUGCAUUUUUGCACGGGAGAGCCUCAGCGAUACCACUGCUUGCGCAUGUGGAGAUCCAUAUGAGACUGGAUGCAUAUCUUGUGCGCUUGCCCCCUAUAUGCAGAUCUGCGGACCUAGAUGGACUUGGAGUGCAGCGCCUUGGCGAAAACUGGAUCUUCGAGGGAAUCCUGGAUGAUCAAGAGAAGACUCAACGGCUGGCAAUGUUUGCGGAAGAAGUGUUCCUGAGGAGGAGGGGCGUUUAGUCAACAUCUCUGCCGUGUGGUUAAGCGGCGAGAUACUACCACAGUCCGCUGUUGCUUGUCGUAAGAGACGACUAAUACAGCGAUAGGAUUCCUCUAACCCUGCUUGUCGGAGCACAAAGGGGAGGCCCACCGAGCCUCUUUUCGGUACCACGGGUUGAGCAGCUAUCCAAGACUGCUCAUUGAGGUAGGCCCCCUGGUGGGAGUAUCGUGGUGGCUGUGGUUGGUACCCAUAUCGCGGGUAGAGCUUCAUUGCUCGACGUUUGAGUUACGGUGCUAGUUGCGCAAACUCGGGUGCUGAGACCCAGAGAUCAGUAGAGAUUUUAGGUAGAUCUCGCUCCUCAGGCAAGGGGGGAGUGCUUGCCCGGCAAGCAAAGUACUCGAAUUGCUACCGGGGUGGUCGCUAUGUACAUAGCUAUAGCUUCUAGUCCGGGACGCUUGUCUGGCGUAUCCAGACACAUGCACCAUAUGCUCACUUGUGGGUGUAUAGGGUGCCGUGGUUGUAAUCCCUUCAGUGUGGAACACGCCACGUAAAAUAAGUUCGGAGGGAUCCGAAAAGCAUACAUUGUCCCUAUCUACUAUCUAGCGAAACCACAGCCAAGGGAACGGGCUUGGAAUAAUUAGCGGGGAAAGAAGACCCUUUUGAGCUUGACUCUAAUCUGGCAGUGUAAGGAGACAUAAGAGGUGUAGAAUAAGUGGGAGAUAUUAGACCUCGGUUUGGUAUCGUCAAUGAAAUACCACUACUCUUAUUGUUUCCUUACUUACUUGAUUAAAUGGAACGUGUAUCAUUUCCUAGCCAUUAUACGGAUAUAUUUAUUAUAUCUUAUGGUAUUGGGUUUUGAUGCAAGCUUCUUGAUCAAAGUAUCACGAGUUUGUUAUAUAAUCGCAAACAAAUUCUUUAAUAAAACGAUGCAUUUAUGUAUUUUUGAUUUGAAAAUUUGGUAUAACUCCAAUUACUCAGGUAUGAAUCCGAUUCAAGGACAUUGCCAGGUAGGGAGUUUGACUGGGGCGGUACAUCUCUCAAAUAAUAACGGAGGUGUCCCAAGGCCAGCUCAGUGCGGACAGAAACCACACAUAGAGCAAAAGGGCAAAUGCUGACUUGAUCUCGGUGUUCAGUACACACAGGGACAGCAAAAGCUCGGCCUAUCGAUCCUUUUGGUUUAAAGAGUUUUUAACAAGAGGUGUCAGAAAAGUUACCAUAGGGAUAACUGGCUUGUGGCGGCCAAGCGUUCAUAGCGACGUCGCUUUUUGAUCCUUCGAUGUCGGCUCUUCCUAUCAUUGUGAAGCAAAAUUCACCAAGCGUUGGAUUGUUCACCCAUGCAAGGAACGUGAGCUGGGUUUAGACCGUCGUGAGACAGGUUAGUUUUACCCUACUAAUGACAAACGUUGUUGCGACAGCAUUCCUGCGUAGUACGAGAGGAACCGCAGGUACGGACCAAUGGCACAAUACUUGUUCGAGCGAACAGUGGUAUGACGCUACGUCCGUUGGAUUAUGCUGAACGCCUCUAAGGUCGUAUCCGUGCUGGACUGCAAUGAUAAAUAAGGGGCAUUUGCAUUGUAUGGCUUCUAAACCAUUUAAAGUUUAUAAUUUACUUUAUAAACGACAAUGGAUGUGAUGCCAAUGUAAUUUGUAACAUAGUAAAUUGGGAGGAUCUUCGAUCACCUGAUGCCGCGCUAGUUACAUAUAAAAGCAUUAUUU